rnacentral:lncRNA from 1 species
UUGACCACAAAAAAUCUUUAAUGAGGUAUAAUUACAUUAACAGUUGAGGUAACAACUUGCAUAGGUAUUUAAUAGAUGAAUAAUUUUAAACCUUAGCCAUUUAAACUCAAGCUGUAGUUUUGGCAUGAAUGAUUUGUCUGUGAAGUGGUAAAUUCUCAUUGCACUUCAUGAUCAGCUGCCCCUGAUGAUUUCAAACUGUAAGCAAACCUACUUGAGAAAAAAGAUAAAUGAUUUUCUAGUAGUUAACAUCGAGCUAAGAUCUUAACAAAUCUAUAGAGGUUAGUGGAUUCUCUUCUUUCCGAAUAAAGUUAGCAGCAGUAGGACUUUAAAGAUUUCUAAUAAGGUUGUUAGGGAAGAGCAAUGAGUAUUUCAUACUAUAUUUUUAAUAAAAUGCAAGUGUAAUUUUAAUUUCAAAAAGGGCCCAAUGUUUAAAUAUCUAACAGGCUUUUAGUAGUCACAUAAUACUAGCAAGAGCAUUUUAAUCCGGCUUUAGUUACUUAUUCUAAGUGAGAUGCUGAACAUUUUGCUCAGAUGCCAAUUUUGAACAGUUCUAUGUCCUAUGCAGUUUUUUCUCUUUAAGACUGAUUUCUAUCCCUUUAAACCAAAAAUCUCAAGAUACAAUAGUACAAAACUAGAUCUAAUGUUAAAUAUAUAAAAUGAACUCAUAUCCAAGCUGAACUGUACUUGUAUUACACCAUAA